UACGUAGGGGGCAAGCGUUGUCCGGAAUCAUUGGGCGUAAAGAGCGUGUAGGCGGCCAGCUAAGUCCGCUGUGAAAUCUCGAGGCUCAACUUCGAGCUGUCGGUGGAAACUGUCUGGCUAGAGUCCGGAAGAGGAGAAUGGAAUUCCUGGUGUAGCGGUGAAAUGCGCAGAUAUCAGGAGGAACACCGGUGGCGAAGGCGGGUCUCUGGGCCGAUACUGACGCUGAGGAGCGAAAGCGUGGGGAGCGAACAGG
rnacentral:rRNA from 1 species